UACGGAGGGUGCAAGCGUUAUCCGGAUUCACUGGGUUUAAAGGGUGCGUAGGUGGGUUGGUAAGUCAGUGGUGAAAUCUCCGGGCUUAACUCGGAAACUGCCGUUGAUACUAUCAAUCUUGAAUGUUGUGGAGGUAAGCGGAAUAUGUCAUGUAGCGGUGAAAUGCUUAGAUAUGACAUAGAACACCGAUAGCGAAGGCAGCUUGCUACACAAUAAUUGACACUGAGGCACGAAAGCGUGGGGAUCAAACAGGAGUUAGA
rnacentral:rRNA from 1 species